rnacentral:rRNA from 1 species
AACGAACGCUGGCGGCAGGCCUAACACAUGCAAGUCGAGCGCCCUUUCGGGGGAGCGGCGGACGGGUGAGUAACGCGUGGGAAUAAGCCCUUCUCUACGGAAUAGCCUCGGGAAACUGAGAGUAAUACCGUAUACGCCCUGUGGGGGAAAGAUUUAUCGGGGAAGGAUUAGCCCGCGUUGGAUUAGGUAGUUGGUGGGGUAAUGGCCUACCAAGCCGACGAUCCAUAGCUGGUUUGAGAGGAUGAUCAGCCACACUGGGACUGAGACACGGCCCAGACUCCUACGGGAGGCAGCAGUGGGGAAUCUUAGACAAUGGGGGCAACCCUGAUCUAGCCAUGCCGCGUGAGUGAUGAAGGCCUUAGGGUUGUAAAGCUCUUUCAGCUGGGAAGAUAAUGACGGUACCAGCAGAAGAAGCCCCGGCUAACUCCGU